rnacentral:tRNA from 1 species
GGGGAGGUGCCGGAGCGGUCAAACGGGCCCGGCUGUAAACCGGGUGGCCCCAGGCCUACGGGGGUUCAAAUCCCUCCCUCCCCA